CAGUAGCGUAUAUUAAAGUUGUUGCAGUUAAAAUGCUCGUAGUUGAAGUUCGGAUGCAGCAGAGCUUGGAAACGCUGUUAUGGUGCUUCCGUUGCUUUUGCUUGUCCACAGUGCGUUGCAAGUACGUAUGUGCUUGUGCGUGCAUUUUACUUUGAGAAACAUAGGGUGUUCCACGCAUGUUACGGCAUGAAUAUCCCAGCAUGGGAUAAUCUGGUACGACUUCCAAUCUGCCAUUUUGGUUCGUAGGUUGGAAGUAAUGAUUAAUAGGGACUGUCGGGGGCAUUGGUAUUUGACUGUCAGAGGUGAAAUUCUUAGAUUCGUUGAGGACCAACCACUGCGAAAGCAUUUGUCAAGGAUGUCUCCAUUAA
rnacentral:rRNA from 1 species